rnacentral:rRNA from 1 species
UACAGAGGGUGCGAGCGUUUGUUCGGAAUUAUUGGGCGUAAAGAGCGCGUAGGCGGUCCGGUAAGUCCGCUCUGAAAGUCCGGGGGCUCAACCCCCGGGAGGCGGGCGGAUACUGUCGGGCUAGAGUCCGGAAGAGGCGAGUGGAAUUCCUGGUGUAGCGGUGAAAUGCGCAGAUAUCAGGAGGAACACCAAUGGCGAAGGCAGCUCGCUGGGACGGUACUGACGCUGAGGCGCGAAAGCAUGGGGGAGCGAACAGG